CAUUAGAUGGCUGAAAGUAAGUAAUGGUCUCUUAAACCUUAAAAUAAUAGAUUAACACCUAUUUCUAAUGA
rnacentral:tRNA from 1 species